UUCUUUUCCAGGCUAGCUUGUCGCAGGGCACUGGACACAGUUCCCUGAGCCACACUGCAGGACCGUGUUGCCUGUCCAUCCUGCGUGUAAUGGUUUGCUCUGCUAAUUCCACUUUCCCAGUCCUUCCUCCCCCACCCCCUGAACUCCUCUGGUUUGGACUUGAUGCUGGGGACCCCUCUUCCUCUGGAGGGGCGCCCACAGUCCACCUGACUAAGCCUGGGCCUCACACGAAAAUUAAGGUUCCCACACUCGACGUGGUUCAUCAGCUCAGAAACCUACUUUGCACCUCACCCCUGUCCCAGCCACCUGGGAAGGUCUCUACACUCACUUGUGCAAAAGUGAGACCGCCGUGACCAAGGUUGUCGUACAGUCACCAUCUGGAGCCCCGUAUUCUCCUUGUGAACAGUCGAGUGUCUGCGACCGGAGGCCUGUCCUCCAUGCUUGCUAGAAGCAGCUCUGCGCUCCAUCCUCCUGGGGCAGAGGAGAGAUGCCCGAGGAGUGUUUUCAGCUCCACGUCCUCCCCGAGAGACCAGGCUGUGGCCACUUCCAGAGGCGGCUUUGGGAGGCGACCUGCCAGUGGUUGGGCCUGGAAGCCCAGAGACAAUAUGCGAUAUUUUAAGGUGAGCUUGUCAACUUUGACCCAAACGUGUACAAAGUACAGAAUCAGUGUCUUUCACUGAUGAUUAAUUAAAAUGUUACAAGAGAAUUCGUUGGAACUGGCCACUUAAAAAAGAUUGAAAAGGAAUUCUGGAAAUGCAGUCACCCCAAUUCAUUUUAAUAAAGAUUAGAAACGGGUCCCCUGACUUUGAAGAAACGGAUACCUGCUCUCUCUUUCUGCCUGCAUAACCGAUGACCAGCUUCCGCACGAGAGACUGGAAGGAGGCACGGAGUCCUUUAGAAACGGGCUACCCUGGCUGCGGGACUGAUAGUCAAGCCCGAAGAGAUCAAUCAAUCGGCAAGAAGAUGCUCACUUGUCAUCCAACGCUUUAAUUAUUGAUAAACCUGUGUUCCCUUCAAAGUGAGCUUAUAAGGGGUCACAGUGGAGAAUUCUACUUCAGCACUGUUUUAGUUCAGAAGGAGGUGAAAGCAGAAAUUUGGGAUUGGGAAAAACAGUUCUCUAUGUUUAUUACUUAUAUGAAAACUUGAAUCGAAUAAAAUAUACAUUUUAACAA